AGAAGAAAAUAAGAGAAACAUCCAUGUUUGAUUAUCAUUUCCUCUGAUUUCUCCAAUGAAUCAAAGAAGACACCAUAAAUAUUGUAUUUUUGAAAUGAGAAAAUGAACACUUUAAUUUUGUUCAGUGCUGGAUUUAUCUUUCUGUGUACAUCCACGGAUGUGUCAGCUACUAUCAGAUACGUCAACGCGCGAGCAGUUACUUCUACAGAUCACUAUCUGGAUGUUGUACCAAUAGAAGAAAAACUGACCUCUUCUGUAAUGUGUGUAAAUCUAUGUACUACUGAUGCUAGAUGUUUAUCUAUUAACUACCAUAAAAAUAAAACAUGUCAGCUAUUGGACACAUUCUACUGUAAAAAUGAUACAUAUGUACUCCAACCAGAAUCCGGAUUUAAAUAUAUGGAUGUAGAUUUUAAUCGUCAACCUGAUGAGUUGAACCAAUACCAGAAGUCAGUUGGCUGUGUUUCGCAUAACAGGUGUUCUCCUAAAUGUAAAGAUUGUUCUCUUUGGAAUGCUUAUAAGAGCCAAAUAUAUGGUUAUAUAGAUCAGGAAGCGGCAACCAUUGAAGAAAAGACAAUCACAACGAUGGACGGAUGCAAAAGUUAUUGCUAUCUCUUUGAUGUUUGUAGAGCGCUUACUUAUAUUGCUGCCACUGAGCAAUGUACAUUACUAUCAUUAACACGAGACAUGGCAAAUCCCGACUCAUUCAAACUAUCAAAUGACAUUGUAUACAGAGAACGAUGGUGUGUUUAAACGUUUAUUUUUCACAGAUCUUGUUCGGUUUAUUUUCAAAUGAAAAUUCGGGAUUUUGACGUGCAUCAUGAUGCAAAUCGAAACCAGUUUUUAACCAAUUAUUACCAUGUCUAUUCCCCAAAUGUUUGACGCAUAAUAUACCAUACUGAUACCAAUUUCUAUAAAGAAUAAAAAACAAAAACAAAAAAAAACCAAAAAAAAAACAAAAAGGCAUUGGAAUUUUCGAACUUAGAUGCAACCACAUUUGUAGAAAUAUUGUCGUUGCGUCAUUGUUUUAAAAUUUAUAGACAAGGAAUAGAGAAAAAUGAUGGCAUUAUAUUGUAUUAAUUAAUAUCUUUGACAACUUAUUAGAUUCACAUAUGUAGUAUGUACUUAAAUCAACUUAGUGAAUGAAUGACAUAUUGUUAUAUAAAAAAGAGUCAUAAUGUGGUAAACAUUCAAUUCUAGGUUAAUAACAGAUAUCUCAUGGGAAGUUUCUCCAGUAAAUUACCAUUACCAUAUAAGGGUGGGUUUCGACGUCAUUUGGCUCAAUUAACCAAUCUCUCUAAUUAUUUAAUGUGUUCCUUAUUUCAAUUUAAAAAUACUCCUUACAACUCUAUAAAUCUUAAAUUACAAAUUCCACAUCAUUUAUAUCAUAUUUGACCAAUGUCUGUGUGUCGCCUACAGGCCACAAUUCUUAAUCGAUUGUCUUGAAAACUUUUCACACGUAUUCAUUAUGCC